rnacentral:rRNA from 1 species
AACGAACGCUGGCGGCAUGCCUAACACAUGCAAGUCGAACGAAGGCCUCGGCCUCAGUGGCGCACGGGUGCGUAACGCGUGGGAAUCUGCCCUUGGGUACGGAAUAACUCGCCGAAAGGAGUGCUAAUACCGUAUGAUGUUGCAAGACCAAAGAUUUAUCGCCCAGGGAUGAGCCCGCGUAGGAUUAGCUAGUUGGUGAGGUAAAGGCUCACCAAGGCGACGAUCCUUAGCUGGUCUGAGAGGAUGAUCAGCCACACUGGGACUGAGACACGGCCCAGACUCCUACGGGAGGCAGCAGUGGGGAAUAUUGGACAAUGGGCGAAAGCCUGAUCCGGCAAUGCCGCGUGAGUGAUGAAGGCCUUAGGGUUGUAAAGCUCUUUUACCCGGGAAGAUAAUGACUGUACCGGGAGAAUAAGCUCCGGCUAACUCCGUGCCAGCCGCCGCCGUAA